AGUGUUGGGUGUCAUGUGUCAUGUGACAGGUGUUGGGUGUUAGGUUUCAUGUGACAUGUGUUGGGUGUUAGGUGUCAUGUGUCAUGUGACAAGUGUUGGGUGUUAGGUGUCAUGUGACAAGUGUUGGAUAUUAGGUGUCAUGUGACAAGUGUUAGGUGUUAGGUGUCAUGUGACAAGUGUUGGGUGUUAGGUGUCAUGUGACAAGUGACAAGUGUUGGGUGAUCGGUGUCAUGUGACAAGUGUUGGGUGUUAGGUGUCAUGUGACAAGUGUUGGAUGUUAGGUGUCAUGUGACAAAUGUUGGAUGUUAGGUGUCAUGUGACAAGUGUUUAGUGACAUGCGUUGUGUGUCAGAAGUCAUGUGACAGGUGUUGUAUGUUAGGUGUCAUGUGACAAAAUUUGUGUUAUAGGUGUUAUGUGACAAGUGUUGUGUGUGAUGUUUUUUGUGUUAGGAGUUGGAUGACAGGUGUUGUAUGUCAGGUUUUGGUGUUAGAUGUUAUAUUAUGUUACAGCUGUAGUGUGACAGUGGUAUAUAUCAAGUGUUGUGUGUCAGGUUUUGGUGUUAGAUGUUAUAUUAUGUUACAGCUGUAGUGUGACAGUGGUAUAUAUAUCAAGUGUUGUGUGUCAGGUGCUAAGAGUCAGGAGUCGUGUGAUAAUUGUAGUGUGUAAGGUGUUAAAUGGCAGGUGUGUGUGGAAAGUGUUGUGUGACAGGUGUUAUAUUUGAUAUGUGUUGUGGGCUUGGUGCUGUGUGCCAGAUGCUGUGUAAACUCACUGAUAUUUAAGCUUCAUUUUAAGUAGACAUUCCAAAUAAAACAAAAUUGUUUUGGCUGCAAUAGAUUAUCGCAAAUUCUGAAAUUUUAUCGGAAAUUAAAAGUUAGAGCCAAAUGUUGUAACUUGAUUAAAGGCGUUUGUUUUCAUUGUGGUAUUAGGGGUUCUUAUCCAAUCUGUUGUUAGUUAAUACAGCGUUUGACCUGUUGCGGAACAUUUUAGUUUUUAUCUUUUGCAUGGUAGUAAAUGUAUUAGAAAAUGGCAAUAGUUGCAUUUAUAAGUCCAUGACUUGCUUUUUGUUCAUAUCAAAUAAGUGUUUAUAAAUAUAUGUUUUUAUAUCGAAUUUCCUUUUCCUAAUGUGCACUUUUUUGUACCGUGCUAAUGCUGAUAAGUGAUGGUAGUGACCUUUUACUGCAAUAAAUUGGUUCUGUA